GAUGAAGAACGCAGCGAAAUGCGAUAAGUAGUGUGUAUUGCAGAAUUCAGUGAAUCAUCGAAUCUUUGAACGCACAUUGCGCCCCUUGGUAUUCCAUGGGGCAUGCCUGUUCGAGCGUCAUUUGUACCUUCAAGCUCUGCUUGGUGUUGGGUGUUUGUCUCGCCUCUGCGUGUAGACUCGCCUCAAAACAAUUGGCAGCCGGCGUAUUGAUUUCGGAGCGCAGUACAUCUCGCGCUUUGCACUCAUAACGACGACGUCCAAAAGUACAUUUUUACACUCUUGACCUCGGAUCAGGUAGGGAUACCCGCUGAACUUAAGCAUAUCAAUAAGCGGAGGA
rnacentral:misc_RNA from 1 species